rnacentral:lncRNA from 1 species
AGCAUUAGAGUUUUAAACCCUAAACUAAACUCUUUCCUUCAGUCAGCAUUAGGGUUUUAAACCCUAAACUGAACUCUUUCCUUUAGUCAGCAUUAGAGUUUUAAACCCUAAACUGAACUUUUUCCAUUUAAACCCUGGAGAGUCCCUUUGUAAACUGAACUUUUCCAUUUAGUCAGCAUUAGAGUUUUAAACCCUAAACAGAACUCUUUUCCAUUCAGUCAGCAUUAGGGUUUUAAACCCUAAACUGAACUCUUUUCCAUUCAGUCAGCAUUAGGGUUUUAAACCCUAAACUAAACUUUUUCCAUUCAGCCAGCAUUAAGGUUUUAAACCCUAAACUAAACUCUUUCCUUUAAUCAGGAUUAGGGUUUUAAACCCUAAACUGAACUUUUCCCUUCAGUCAGCAUUAGGGUUUUAGACCCUAAACUGAACUUUUCCUGUAGUCAGCAUUAGGAUUUUAAACCCUAAACUGAACUCUUUUCCAUU